rnacentral:rRNA from 1 species
GCAUCCGCGGAUCUGAUAUGAAGAGGCGGAGCCACACUUGAUAGGGAGUUGCCCGUGUUAAGACCCCAAUAUUACACUUGUUAUAUAUACUAUAAUGUCUGAAUAAAUCAUUUCAAAUGAAAUAAAACUUUCAACAACGGAUCUCUAGGCUCUUGCAUCGAUGAAGAACGCAGUGAAAUGCGAUAAGUAAUGUGAAUUGCAGAAUCUCGUGAAUCAUCGAAUCUUUGAACGCACAUUGCGCCCUAUGGUAUUCCGUAGGGCAUGCCUGUCUGAGCGUCAGCUCCCCCCAACUCAAACUUUUGUUAGUUUGGAUUACUUUGAAGGUGUAGCUUGUCAAAGCUGCUUUUCAGAAAUUCAUAGGCAGUAUGGUUAUUCCUAGACCAGACGUAAUAAUAAUAAAACCGUCUUUUUGGGAAAGAAUUGUGCUUGCCUCAACCCACCCAUUAUCUUUUUACUUGGGUGACCUCAGAUCAGGUAGGGAUACCCGCUGAACUUAAGCA